AAUCUUGAAUCCUUACCUUCAGGUCUACACCAUCUUCCUUGCCUUGAGUCUAUUAAAAUAGAUGGAUGUCCAAAAUUGUCGGUGAGAGAAGGUGUUCCCACCAGCCUUAGACAACUCUUAAUUAAUGAAUGUGAAGAUGACAAGGGAACGGGAAUGGGAACGGGAAUGCUCACCUCUCUAAAAACGUUAGAAAUAUUUUUCCUCCCACAGCUUAAAUCCAUCUCAGACCUGACCAACCUCACCGCUCUUGGAAGCUUGGAUAUCGUUUCACUCCCACUGCUUGAAUCCAUCUCAGACCUGAACAACCUCACCUCUCUAAAAUGGUUGCGAAUCCAAAAUCUCCCACAGCUUGAAUCAAUUCCAAGUCUCAGCAGCCUCACCUCUCUUGAAAGUUUGGAAAUCUCUGAUCUCCUACAGCUUGAAUCAAUCCAAGAUCUGAGCAACCUCACAUCUCUUACACAUUUCAUAAUUUCCAAAUGCCCAAAGAUCAAAUUAAUUCCAAGUCUGAGCAACCUCACCUCUCUUACAGAUCUCAUAAUUUACAAUUGCCCAAGGAUCAAAUUAAUUCCAAGUCUGAGCAGCCACACCUCUUAUGAAAAAUUGAGGAUUGUGGAUUGCCCAAACCUCAGAUCCAUUCCCGAUCUUGGCAACUUCAAAUAUUUAUCAAUUAAGAAAUGCCCAAAACUCAAAUCCCUGCAAACCCUGCCAUCCUCACUUCAGUCUGUAGGUAUUACAGAUUGUCCACUGCUUAUAAAACGAUGGAAAAGUGUUAGGGGAAAAUAUUCCUCAAAGAUUGCUCAAAUUCCUGAAGUUGUAAUAGAUGGCAAAUUCAUCUACAAUUCAAAGGAGUGGGGAGUUGUUGAUACGAGCUUCUUUCUCUAAUUUUCCUAAUGGCACAGAUACAUCUAAUUCCAUCAAAGGUGAUGGUCGACAAGAAUCUCUCAAUUAUAGUUUGUCCGGGUAAUUCAUUUAACUUUAAUCAACCUAACAUAAUACCUUGUAUCUCUAAUUCUGAUCCAACAUUUCUAAUGUCAAAAAUUUAUUUGUAACUCAAGAAACUUUCAGCUUAGGAAAAUUCCAGUUUUUGGAAUUCUAAAUAAAGUAAAUUCUUCAUGUUCUUGUUUCCUGAGAGGAUCUUUCAACAAUAGAUUUUUAUAGCUUAUUUAAGGAAUCAUUGUUUACUUAAUGUAAACAACACAAUGCAGGACUGCUAUGCUUAGAUUCAAUGUUGUAGAAAUCAUCGGAAAGGCUUAAAAUUUUCAUUCUCUAACUUCAUGUAAGCAUAUUAAACAUUGUGUUUAUAUAUCUAACAUUGUAAAAUUACACAUUUUCUACCUUACUCUUGGAUUUAUAUAUGAAGUCCGCCAAUUGAUGAGAGCAAAACCAAGUAAUGGACUUCUAUAUAUCUUGCUGAGCCAGAGCAGCCAGUAAAUUUUCACUUCAUACAAAUUUUUGACUAUAACAAAAUUCUAUGCUAUCAACAAUAUUCUCAUAUUGAAGUUUACUAAGCAAGAAGCAAGUAAAAAAUAUUUGUCUAGUUUCAGAAGUAAAGGAUGGCAUUUUGAUCUUAUAAAUUGAAAGUGGUUCCUCUGUUUCAAAACUUCUCUACUUUGUCAUCUCAUAGAUUGUCUCAACUUUUGUGGUUCCAAGGUAAUCAAAAGUGCCACUGUCUCCAACUUAGACAAGCAACUGUUAGAACCUAAUCCUGGCAUGUCUAAGUUUUCCGGAACUAAACUUACUGCAUGUCUGCUUGCUGAAAUUCCAAUACUGAGAUUGUAUCUUCUAGCUGUUGCAACGGUUAAUCAAGCAGCAUUUUUCCUGCUUGUGUGUAUGGAUCCCCACGCUUAAAUUAACAUUGCAGAGAUCGUUGUAGGGCUUAAAGUUUUCCUCCUCCAACUUCAUAUGUUGAGCAAAACAAAGUAAUGGACCUCUAUAUAUCCUGCUAAAGCAGUACAACCAAUCAAUGCUCAUAUAACAAAGCUCAUGAGGAGAGCAUGUCACCUUAAUUUGAAUGUUUUAAUAUUCAAGGAGAGUACUGAAAGAUUUUCAAGAUGAAAUCGACACAACUUUAAGAGAGUUUUGUGUCACCUUUGAUAAAAGACUCGAAUAAGAAGUUCAGCUUAUGACAUUUUUGCAGUAGCUUGUGAUCAAUCAAUUUCUAUUGUGGUGAUCUGGUAGCAGAGUUGAAAGUUAAGUACACAAACAGCAACACGGCUACAGAAAUGGAGGAAUUUGCUUUCUUCUUGGAGGUUUGAAGCCUUGUUUCGUGUGGAUGUUGGUUCCUCCUCUCCACAGGUUAGAAGACUUUGCUGCUACAUCCAGGUUUAUGGCUUUCUUGGAGCAAGAUGAUUACUUUCCCUACUGUUCCUUCACGAAUGUGUCAGCAUUUAUGGCUGCCUUUUCACUUCUGGAGGAAUUUUCUGCUGCUGAACUUGUAGUUCUUGUUGGUUUGCUCUUAGCUGGUGCCGUGACUAAGCAAGAUGAUGUUGGUUAAUUUCCUCUACAAUUCUGGUCCAGCUACAAUCAGUUUGCAGUUUCUUUUUCUCGCUUUGCGAUAUUAUUUUUUGCCUUUCAGUUUGGAUGGUCUCUAUUGCUGUUUUGUGUUUGAAGUUGACUGCUUGGUGCCGAGUUGUCUUUCUAUUUUCAUAAAUUUUUUGGUAACCGAAGAAACUUUUUCAGCUUAGGAAAAUUCCAAUAUUUGAGAUUCUAAAUAAAGUAAAUUCUUCAUUUCUUGUUUCAUUUUUCAAUUCCUGAGAGGACCUUUCAACAACUGAUUAGAUAAUCUUAUGAUUUGUCUUUUUUGUGAGUUUUGAAUUCAGGGGAGGAACAUUUAGAGGCAGAAGUUGAAAUAUUUUCCAUCUAAUUGAUUUGAAGCUUAUCUUGUGCAAUUUAGGUUUACUUACACAAUAUGGACAACACAAUGUAGGACCCCUAUAUGCGUGGAUUUAGUGUUGCAAGAAUCAUUGGAAAGGCUUAAAAUUUUCCUUCUCUAACUUCAUGUGAAUCUUGAAAGAAUUUCAAGAUGAAUUCCACACAACUACAAAAGAGUUACAUGUCACUAUGAAUGAAAGGCUCAAAUAAGAUAUUCAGCUUAUGACAUUUCUAUAAUAACUUGUGAGUAAUCAGUUUCUAUAGUGAAACUACUUGAGUAAAAAUCUCUAGAAUCACAUCUCACAUACUUUGGAGAUCAAGAGAUGUUCUGCUUAUAUAAUUUACAAGAUUUGAUAAGUUCCGGUCCUUACUAGCUGAACUAAAUAGUCUCAUAUUCCUUGAAGAAGACAAGACAAGAAAUCUCCUGAAGCAAAUUGAUGAGAUUAAAACACAUUACCUCACUUCAAAUAUUUGUGAUAUGGUUACAGGUUUUGAAAGUUAAUAACACAAACAACAACAUGACUGCAAAAAAAGGGAGAAAAUAUAAAGAGUUUUGAAGAAUAAACCACUAGAUCAUUGCUUCACAAACUUGGGCCUCAUCGUGUCCCUAUGACAUCAUAAACUUAAUGUGAUGAUAAGAGGAAUGUGAUGUUGGUAAGGCAACAAUGUAGGUAAAGGAAAUCUACUGAAGCAACAUGACAUCAGUUCCAAUCAUGUUUGGAGAAAAAAAUAAAAAGGAGGUCAAAGUAGUUUCAAUUGGAUACAUGGCAAGAAUUUUUCUGAGCAAACCGGAUAUGAUUAAAAGACUUGAUUCACCCACUAUUUUAAUUUUCACUAACAUCAAACAGCCAGUGACUUGGAGAAAAUCGAAAAACUGUUAAGGCCACAAACCACUAAAUCAUUGCUUCACAGACUUGGGGCUUCAUCAUGUCACCAUGUCAAAAAAUGCAGUUGCAGGGUGCUACAGACCUGAAGUUUUGCCUUGAAGUUGCUGGAUUAGUGGUAUCAGGAUGUUUGCUGGAGAUUUUAAUGUGUUUGGGGAUGAAAUACAUGCUGAAGAUGUGGUGCUGGGUUGGCUCUUCCUUGCUGCUGCACUCCUCUUACUGGACUAACACUGGAACAAGAAAUCUGGAAUUUAUGUUCCAAAAAGAACAUAAAUUCCUUGAUUGUGUGGUGAAUGUGAGACAAAUUUUUUUGUUCUUGAUUGCAUAGUGAAUUGAAGACAAUUUUUCAUCCUUGAUUAUGUAGUAAAUUGAGAACAAAUUUUUUUCCUUGA